GACGAACGCUGGCGGCGUGCUUAACACAUGCAAGUCGAACGGAAAGGCCCUGCUUUUGUGGGGUGCUCGAGUGGCGAACGGGUGAGUAACACGUGAGUAACCUGCCCUUGACUUUGGGAUAACUUCAGGAAACUGGGGCUAAUACCGGAUAGGAGCUCGUGCUGCAUGGUGGGGGUUGGAAAGUUUCGGCGGUUGGGGAUGGACUCGCGGCUUAUCAGCUUGUUGGUGAGGUAGUGGCUUACCAAGGCUUUGACGGGUAGCCGGCCUGAGAGGGUGACCGGCCACAUUGGGACUGAGAUACGGCCCAGACUCCUACGGGAGGCAGCAGUGGGGAAUAUUGCACAAUGGGCGGAAGCCUGAUGCAGCAACGCCGCGUGCGGGAUGACGGCCUUCGGGUUGUAAACCGCUUUCGCCUGUGACGAAGCGUGAGUGACGGUAAUGGGUAAAGAAGCACCGGCUAACUACGUG
rnacentral:rRNA from 1 species